UUUGAUCCUGGCUCAGGACGAACGCUGGCGGCGUGCCUAAUACAUGCAAGUCGAACGAACUCUGGUAUUGAUUGGUGCUUGCAUCAUGAUUUACAUUUGAGUGAGUGGCGAACUGGUGAGUAACACGUGGGAAACCUGCCCAGAAGCGGGGGAUAACACCUGGAAACAGAUGCUAAUACCGCAUAACAACUUGGACCGCAUGGUCCGAGUUUGAAAGAUGGCUUCGGCUAUCACUUUUGGAUGGUCCCGCGGCGUAUUAGCUAGAUGGUGGGGUAACGGCUCACCAUGGCAAUGAUACGUAGCCGACCUGAGAGGGUAAUCGGCCACAUUGGGACUGAGACACGGCCCAAACUCCUACGGGAGGCAGCAGUAGGGAAUCUUCCACAAUGGACGAAAGUCUGAUGGAGCAACGCCGCGUGAGUGAAGAAGGGUUUCGGCUCGUAAAACUCUGUUGUUAAAGAAGAACAUAUCUGAGAGUAACUGUUCAGGUAUUGACGGUAUUUAACCAGAAAGCCACGGCUAACUACGUGCCAGCAGCCGCGGUAAUACGUAGGUGGCAAGCGUUGUCCGGAUUUAUUGGGCGUAAAGCGAGCGCAGGCGGUUUUUUAAGUCUGAUGUGAAAGCCUUCGGCUCAACCGAAGAAGUGCAUCGGAAACUGGGAAACUUGAGUGCAGAAGAGGACAGUGGAACUCCAUGUGUAGCGGUGAAAUGCGUAGAUAUAUGGAAGAACACCAGUGGCGAAGGCGGCUGUCUGGUCUGUAACUGACGCUGAGGCUCGAAAGUAUGGGUAGCAAACAGGAUUAGAUACCCUGGUAGUCCAUACCGUAAACGAUGAAUGCUAAGUGUUGGAGGGUUUCCGCCCUUCAGUGCUGCAGCUAACGCAUUAAGCAUUCCGCCUGGGGAGUACGGCCGCAAGGCUGAAACUCAAAGGAAUUGACGGGGGCCCGCACAAGCGGUGGAGCAUGUGGUUUAAUUCGAAGCUACGCGAAGAACCUUACCAGGUCUUGACAUACUAUGCAAAUCUAAGAGAUUAGACGUUCCCUUCGGGGACAUGGAUACAGGUGGUGCAUGGUUGUCGUCAGCUCGUGUCGUGAGAUGUUGGGUUAAGUCCCGCAACGAGCGCAACCCUUAUUAUCAGUUGCCAGCAUUAAGUUGGGCACUCUGGUGAGACUGCCGGUGACAAACCGGAGGAAGGUGGGGAUGACGUCAAAUCAUCAUGCCCCUUAUGACCUGGGCUACACACGUGCUACAAUGGAUGGUACAACGAGUUGCGAACUCGCGAGAGUAAGCUAAUCUCUUAAAGCCAUUCUCAGUUCGGAUUGUAGGCUGCAACUCGCCUACAUGAAGUCGGAAUCGCUAGUAAUCGCGGAUCAGCAUGCCGCGGUGAAUACGUUCCCGGGCCUUGUACACACCGCCCGUCACACCAUGAGAGUUUGUAACACCCAAAGUCGGUGGGGUAACCUUUUAGGAACCAGCCGCCUAA
rnacentral:rRNA from 1 species